rnacentral:rRNA from 1 species
AGAGUUUGAUCCUGGCUCAGGAUGAACGCUGGCGGUCUGCUUAACACAUGCAAGUCGAACGCAGCCUUCGGGUUGAGUGGCGGACGGGUGAGUAACGCGUGAGAAUCUGCCUUAGGGUCGGGGACAACCACUGGAAACGGUGGCUAAUACCGGAUAAGCCGAUUGGUGAAAGAUUUAUUGCCCGAAGAGGAGCUCGCGUCUGAUUAGCUAGUUGGUGAGGUAAGAGCUCACCAAGGCAGCGAUCAGUAGCUGGUCUGAGAGGACGAUCAGCCACACUGGGACUGAGACACGGCCCAGACUCCUACGGGAGGCAGCAGUGGGGAAUUUUCCGCAAUGGGCGAAAGCCUGACGGAGCAAGACCGCGUGAGGGAGGAAGGCUCUUGGGUUGUAAACCUCUUUUCUCAGGGAAGAAGCUCUGACGGUACCUGAGGAAUCAGCCUCGGCUAACUCCGUGCCAGCAGCCGCGGUAAUACGGAGGAGGCAAGCGUUAUCCGGAAUUAUUGGGCGUAAAGCGUCCGCAGGUGGCGAUUCAAGUCUGCUGUCAAAGCACGGGGCUUAACUCCGUUAAGGCAGUGGAAACUGAAUAGCUAGAGUGCCGUAGGGGUAGAGGGAAUUCCCGGUGUAGCGGUGAAAUGCGUA